GAUUAAGUUAUUAAGGGCGCACGGUGGAUGCCUUGGCACUAGAAGCCGAAGAAGGACGUUACUAACGACGAUAUGCUUUGGGGAGCUGUAAGUAAGCGUUGAUCCAGAGAUUUCCGAAUGGGGAAACCCAACAUGAGUUAUGUCAUGUUAUCGAUAUGUGAAUACAUAGCAUAUCAGAAGGCAGACCCGGAGAACUGAAACAUCUUAGUACCCGGAGGAAGAGAAAGAAAAAUCGAUUCCCUGAGUAGCGGCGAGCGAAACGGGAAGAGCCCAAACCAACAAGCUUGCUUGUUGGGGUUGUAGGACACUCUAUACGGAGUUACAAAAGUAUAUAUUAGACGAAUCAUCUGGAAAGUUGAAUCAAAGAAGGUAAUAAUCCUGUAGUCGAAAAUAUAUACUCUCUUGAGUGGAUCCUGAGUACGACGGAGCACGUGAAAUUCCGUCGGAAUCUGGGAGGACCAUCUCCUAAGGCUAAAUACUCUCUAGUGACCGAUAGUGAACCAGUACCGUGAGGGAAAGGUGAAAAGUACCCCGGAAGGGGAGUGAAAGAGAACUUGAAACCGUGUGCUUACAAGUAGUCAGAGCCCGUUAAUGGGUGAUGGCGUGCCUUUUGUAGAAUGAACCGGCGAGUUACGAUUUGAUGCAAGGUUAAGCAGUGAAUGUGGAGCCGUAGCGAAAGCGAGUCUGAAUAGGGCGUUGAGUAUUUGGUCGUAGACCCGAAACCAGGUGAUCUACCCUUGGUCAGGUUGAAGUUCAGGUAACACUGAAUGGAGGACCGAACCGACUUACGUUGAAAAGUGAGCGGAUGAACUGAGGGUAGCGGAGAAAUUCCAAUCGAACCUGGAGAUAGCUGGUUCUCUCCGAAAUAGCUUUAGGGCUAGCCUCAAGUGAUGAUUAUUGGAGGUAGAGCACUGUUUGGACGAGGGGCCCUUCUCGGGUUACCGAAUUCAGACAAACUCCGAAUGCCAAUCAAUUUAACUUGGGAGUCAGAACAUGGGUGAUAAGGUCCGUGUUCGAAAGGGAAACAGCCCAGACCACCAGCUAAGGUCCCAAAAUAUAUGUUAAGUGGAAAAGGAUGUGGCGUUGCCCAGACAACUAGGAUGUUGGCUUAGAAGCAGCCAUCAUUUAAAGAGUGCGUAAUAGCUCACUAGUCGAGUGACACUGCGCCGAAAAUGUACCGGGGCUAAACAUAUUACCGAAGCUGUGGAUUGUCCGUAGGACAAUGGUAGGAGAGCGUUCUAAGGGCGUUGAAGCAUGAUCGCAAGGACAUGUGGAGCGCUUAGAAGUGAGAAUGCCGGUGUGAGUAGCGAAAGACGGGUGAGAAUCCCGUCCACCGAUUGACUAAGGUUUCCAGAGGAAGGCUCGUCCGCUCUGGGUUAGUCGGGUCCUAAGCUGAGGCCGACAGGCGUAGGCGAUGGAUAACAGGUUGAUAUUCCUGUACCACCUAGUAUCGUUUUAAUCGAUGGGGGGACGCAGUAGGAUAGGCGAAGCGUGCUAUUGGAUUGCACGUCCAAGCAGUAAGACUGAGUGUUAGGCAAAUCCGGCACUCGUAAGGUCAAGCUGUGAUGGGGAGAGGAAAUUGUUUCCUCGAGUCGUUGAUUUCACACUGCCAAGAAAAGCCUCUAGAUAGAUAACAGGUGCCCGUACCGCAAACCGACACAGGUAGUCAAGAUGAGAAUUCUAAGGUGAGCGAGCGAACUCUCGUUAAGGAACUCGGCAAAAUGACCCCGUAACUUCGGGAGAAGGGGUGCUCUUUAGGGUUAACGCCCAGAAGAGCCGCAGUGAAUAGGCCCAAGCGACUGUUUAUCAAAAACACAGGUCUCUGCUAAACCGUAAGGUGAUGUAUAGGGGCUGACGCCUGCCCGGUGCUGGAAGGUUAAGAGGAGUAGUUAGCUUCUGCGAAGCUACGAAUCGAAGCCCCAGUAAACGGCGGCCGUAACUAUAACGGUCCUAAGGUAGCGAAAUUCCUUGUCGGGUAAGUUCCGACCCGCACGAAAGGCGUAACGAUUUGGGCACUGUCUCAACGAGAGACUCGGUGAAAUCAUAUUACCUGUGAAGAUGCAGGUUACCCGCGACAGGACGGAAAGACCCCGUGGAGCUUUACUGUAGCCUGAUAUUGAAAUUCGGCACAGCUUGUACAGGAUAGGUAGGAGCCUUUGAAACGUGAGCGCUAGCUUACGUGGAGGCAUUGGUGGGAUACUACCCUAGCUGUGUUGGCUUUCUAACCCGCACCACUUAUCGUGGUGGGAGACAGUGUCAGGUGGGCAGUUUGACUGGGGCGGUCGCCUCCUAAAAGGUAACGGAGGCGCUCAAAGGUUCCCUCAGAAUGGUUGGAAAUCAUUCAUAGAGUGUAAAGGCAUAAGGGAGCUUGACUGCGAGACUUACAAGUCGAGCAGGGUCGAAAGACGGACUUAGUGAUCCGGUGGUUCCGCAUGGAAGGGCCAUCGCUCAACGGAUAAAAGCUACCCCGGGGAUAACAGGCUUAUCUCCCCCAAGAGUUCACAUCGACGGGGAGGUUUGGCACCUCGAUGUCGGCUCAUCGCAUCCUGGGGCUGUAGUCGGUCCCAAGGGUUGGGCUGUUCGCCCAUUAAAGCGGUACGCGAGCUGGGUUCAGAACGUCGUGAGACAGUUCGGUCCCUAUCCGUCGUGGGCGUAGGAAAUUUGAGAGGAGCUGUCCUUAGUACGAGAGGACCGGGAUGGACAUACCUCUGGUGUACCAGUUGUCGUGCCAACGGCAUAGCUGGGUAGCUAUGUAUGGACGGGAUAAGUGCUGAAAGCAUCUAAGCAUGAAGCCCCCCUCAAGAUGAGAUUUCCCAACUUCGGUUAUAAGAUCCCUCAAAGAUGAUGAGGUUAAUAGGUUCGAGGUGGAAGCGUGGUGACACGUGGAGCUGACGAAUACUAAUCGAUCGAAGACUUAAUCAA
rnacentral:rRNA from 1 species